ACUGGACGAAAUCAUGAUGUACUACGACAAGGGAAAGAAGCACCACCCUGAAAUUGAUCAAAUGAACGCAAGUUCAGUGAAGCAGGGACUGUUAAUAGGGGCUGUUGCUAUUGAUGGUCUAUUCACUCUUCUAAUAAGUCAUGAUGGUAAACCUGUCAAAAAUAGAUUUCUUGGGUAAAUGGACAGUCCUAUGUUUUGGUUUGCACACUGCCCUUAUAUUUGUCCAGAUGAACUCCAGAAUAGGGUUGCUGCUAUUAAUAAAAUCAGGAAAGAGAUAUGCUGAAAUUGCGGCAUCUAAUCAUUUUAUCAUGUUCAGUUAUAUUUUCUAACUACUGUUUUCUCAUUUGCCCGAUUAACAGAAUUCCGGGAUCUAACAGGACUAACUGGUACCACAGAUGAGAUAAGGAACGCUGCAUGUGUUUAUCGAGCUUAUUACAUGAAUCCAAAGGUUAACUACCAAUGACCAUGCUUAUCUACCUUCCUUCAGGUACUUGAUCGACCUGAAGACGGAGUUUGCUCAUUUCUUUUGGCAAGUACUAUGAUGGAGAUUCCCUUGCUGAAGGAAUCAUUACAGAAGCUUCGGACAACAUGAGUAGCUGAAAUCCAC
rnacentral:sRNA from 1 species